AUAUCUUUCUCGGACUCCCGGCUAAGAUCAAGUGUAGUAUUUGUUCUUAUUAGUUUAAUAUAUGAUAUGUGGACCAUAGGCUCACUUUUUAUUCAAUAAAUAAAUUAUUUUUUGAGGGGGAGGGCCCACUACAGUAGCAAGCUACUAGAGUCUCUCAUGCAUUUCUUUGGUGUUGCACUAUUGCCAAGUUCAAAGGUUUUUGCU